UACGUAGGGUGCAAGCGUUAAUCGGAAUUACUGGGCGUAAAGCGUGCGCAGGCGGUGAUGUAAGACAGAUGUGAAAUCCCCGGGCUCAACCUGGGAAUGGCAUUUGGGACUGCAAGGCUGGAGUUUGGCAGAGGAGACUGGAAUUCCUGGUGUAGCAGUGAAAUGCGUAGAUAUCAGGAGGAAUACCGAUGGCGAAGGCAGGUCUCUGGGCUAUAACUGACGCUCAUGCACGAAAGCGUGGGGAGCAAACAGG
rnacentral:rRNA from 1 species